AUGUGUUUAAUUCGAUGAUACGCGAGGUAACCUUACCGUGGGCUUAAAUGUAGAGUGCUAUUUUUUUAGAGAUAGAAAUUCCCUUCGGGGCUUUCUGCAAGGUGCUGCAUGGUUGUCGUCAGCUCGUGCCGUGAGGUGUCGGGUUAAGUCCCAUAACGAGCGCAACCCUUAUCGUUAGUUGCCAUCUGGUAAUGCAGGGGACUCUAGCGAAACUGCCACCGUAAGGUGAGAGGAAGGUGGGGAUGACGUCAAAUCAGCACGGCCCUUAUGUCCAGGGCUACACACGUGUUACAAUGGUCGGUACAGAGGGCAGCUACCUGGUGACAGGAUGCUAAUCUCGAAAACCGGUCUCAGUUCGGAUUGAAGUCUGCAACUCGACUUCAUGAAGUUGGAAUCGCUAGUAAUCGCGGAUCAGAACGCCGCGGUGAAUACGUUCUCGGGCCUU
rnacentral:rRNA from 1 species